UACGUAGGGGGCAAGCGUUGUCCGGAUUUAUUGGGCGUAAAGAGCGUGUAGGCGGCCAGACAGGUCCGUUGUGAAAACUCGAGGCUCAACCUCGAGACGCCGAUGGAAACCGUCUGGCUAGAGUCCGGAAGAGGAGAGUGGAAUUCCUGGUGUAGCGGUGAAAUGCGCAGAUAUCAGGAGGAACACCAAUAGCGAAGGCAGCUCGCUGGGACGGUACUGACGCUGAGGUGCGAAAGCGUGGGGAGCGAACAGG
rnacentral:rRNA from 1 species